rnacentral:rRNA from 1 species
UACGUAGGGUGCGAGCGUUAAUCGGAAUUACUGGGCGUAAAGCGUGCGCAGGCGGUUUGUAAGUCAGAUGUGAAAGCCCCGGGCUCAACCUGGGAACUGCGUUUGAAACUGCAAGGCUAGAGUGUAGCAGAGGGGGGUAGAAUUCCACGUGUAGCAGUGAAAUGCGUAGAGAUGUGGAGGAAUACCAAUGGCGAAGGCAGCCCCCUGGGUUAACACUGACGCUCAUGCACGAAAGACGUGGGGAGCAAACGAGGAUUACGAA